UACUCCUACGGGAGGCAGCAGUGAGGAAUAUUGGUCAAUGGAGGCAACUCUGAACCAGCCAUGCCGCGUGCAGGAUGACGGUCCUAUGGAUUGUAAACUGCUUUUGUACGGGAAGAAAUGUAUCUACGUGUAGAUAUUUGACGGUACCGUAA
rnacentral:rRNA from 1 species